CCUCGGGUGGCAGCAGUGGGGAAUAUUGGACAAUGGGCGAAAGCCUGAUCCAGCCAUGCCGCGUGUGUGAAGAAGGCCUUCGGGUUGUAAAGCACUUUCAGUGGGGAAGAAAGCCUUGGGGCUAAUACCCUCGAGGAAGGACAUCACCCACAGAAGAAGCACCGGCUAACUCCGUGCCAGCAGCCGCGGUAAUACGGAGGGUGCGAGCGUUAAUCGGAAUUACUGGGCGUAAAGCGCGCGUAGGCGGUCUGAUAAGCCGGUUGUGAAAGCCCCGGGCUCAACCUGGGAACGGCAUCCGGAACUGUCAGGCUAGAGUGCAGGAGAGGAAGGUAGAAUUCCCGGUGUAGCAGUGAAAUGCGUAGAGAGCGGGAGGAAUACCAGUGGCGAAGGCGGCCUUCUGGACUGACACUGACGCUGAGGUGCGAAAGCGUGGGUAGCAAACAGGAUUAGAUACCCUAGUAGUC
rnacentral:rRNA from 1 species